rnacentral:sRNA from 1 species
GCCAGAUGUGGUGGUGCACACCUGUAAUCCCAGCAACUUGGGAGGCUGAGGCAGGAAGAUCCUCAGUUCAAAGCCAGCCUUGGCAAAUUACCAAGGCUCUAAGCAAUUCAGUGAGACUCUAUCUCUA